AGCUUCAUAGUUCAGUGGCCAGAACACAAGGCUCAUGACCUUGCAACCCAUGUUCGAUUCAUAGUGAAGCUA
rnacentral:tRNA from 1 species